rnacentral:lncRNA from 1 species
UUUAGCAACAACAACAACAACAAAAAAACCCAACUUAAUCCCAAUACACAUUUUAAAGUAGUAUAUAGCAUGCAAUAGCUGAGGUAUAAACCUUCCUAUCCAUUCCUUAUUAAAUUAUUGCCGGAAGUUCAAGUCACUCCACUCAAAAGGACUUCAAAUAAGUGGGAAAAUCGUUCUUUGAGAAGAAGGUAUAUGAUUUGAUAUUGUUUUUCCUAGAGAAGAAAAAGAAACAAACCCAUUAGAGUGUUGCAGAACCUGAAUGGUUUUUCAAGAAUUAUGUUGAUCAACUUUCUGUGUAGAGUAGCAAAUAACAAGUGUCACCGAUUUGAACAAUAGUGUAUUUGGGAAAUAGAGAAAGGGCUGCUUCCUGUCCUUUGAGAUCUUCACAGCAACCACAAACCCUAUCUUGUCAUCUGUGUUCCGGCAUGCCCAGGCACAUUUGACCAAUUCUAAACGCUAAACGUUACUCCAGCACCCAAGUGUAACCCGUCACGAGGUGAGUCACAGUGAAUCCUAACCAGGACCCCAGUGGGAAAUGCUGCCUCCCCUUUAGGUUUCUGAUUUCACUUCAGUUUCCCGCUAGCACUUAUGGUGUCACUGAUCACCCCUCCCCACCCCCCAUCUCUUUCACAAUUUUGUCUUCCGUGGGUCACGUAUGUUUUGGAGAUGUCUGACUUUCCCAAGAGCUGGUAUUGAAUUUCCACCCAGUGUUUCCAGGACGGCAGCCUGUGUGAAGUGCUAGGGAAAGCCUUUUCAUGCCUUGAAAAAUACACACAAGUAUUUCUCUUCCUGAGCUUCAAGGAGACUCUGCAUUCAAAAGACCACUCCCGGGCACUGCCUUCUACCAACUUCCCCAUCCAACUCUGAUUGCAUCGGACCACUGUCUUCCCUCCAUGCCUCCAGCCCUGAGGUUGUCAACGGGGUGCUCCAGCCUCCAUGUGCACCCUGUGACUUCCUUCAUCCUAGUCCUGCUGACCCUCGUGGCUUCUCCUGCUCCAAGGCCAAGCUCGGGACCCUGUCAUCAUCCCCGGGGACAGGCCCCAUCUUAGAGAGAAUCCACCCAGCUCCCCACUCCUGAGCCAUCUUCCAGCUAUCCCGCCUCGAGACUCCCACCGCACCUGCUCCUGGGCUGCAGCUGCACCCAACAAGUCAACAUGUGGAUUGCUUCUAGAAUUUGGAUAUUAUGAACACUGCUGUGCUGAACAUUCUUGUACACUUAUAUGGUUUGGCUGUGUCCCCACCCAAAUCUCAUCUUGAAUUGUAGCUCCCAUAAUUCCUAUGUGUCGUGGGAGGGACCCAAUGGGAGGUAAUUGAAUCAUAGGGGCAGGUCUUUCCCCUGCUAUCCUUGUGAUAGUGAAUAAGUCUCAUGAGAUCUGAUGGUUUUAUACAUGGGAGUUCCCCUGCACAAUACAUGGGAGUUCCCCUGCACAAGCCCUCUUGUCUGCCACCAUGUAAGAUGUGCCUUUGCUUCUCCUCUGCCUUCCACCAUAAUUGUGAGGACUCCCCA